UGAUGCGAUCAUACCAGCACUAAAGCACCGGAUCCCAUCAGAACUCCGAAGUUAAGCGUGCUUGGGAGAGAGUAGUACUAGGAUGGGUGACCUCCUGGGAAGUCCUCGUGUUGCAUUCC
rnacentral:rRNA from 1 species